rnacentral:rRNA from 1 species
AUGGCAGAGGGUGGUUUUGUGGUAGCCAUUUGCCAACAUGGUGGGGAGUUCACUUCUGGUCCCAAUGGGAAUUUGAUCUACAAAGGAGGAGAAGCGCACGCUGUUGACGUCUCUCGGGAGAUGUCCCUUGACAGCUUCAAGGAUGAGGUGUCCAAGGUGUUCCAUGUUGAUGUCACCGAUAUGUCGUUCAAGUACUUCCUUCCGAACAAUAACAGGACGCUCAUCACAAUCUCAUGUGAUAGAGAUUUGCAACGGAUGGUUGAUUUUACUGCUAGUGCUGCCCAAGCAGAUGUUUUUGUGAUAAGUAGAGUGGAGAACAGGAGUGUCGUAACGUACACUGGAGCUUCCACUGUUAAAGCUGGAUCUAAUGCACAUGGCGACAAAAGGAAAAGGACAGCUUCCAAAAACAAGGUAUCCAAAAGUAAUAAGAAGACCGCCAGUGCUACUGGUGUUGUAGUUCAAGCUGAUACCAAUGAUCUCAAUCAACCUACCAAUGAUCUCAAUCAACCUACCAAUGAUCUCAAUCAACCUACCAGUGAUAUAAAUCAACCAAGAGCUUUGGUGACCUUGAAUGAUUACAACGAGGAUUUUCCGCUGGAAUUUGGCCAUGAUGUUGCCUUUCCCACCACAGCUGGAGCUGUUUCCUCUGCUCCAGACGAUCUGAAUCAUGACAAGCUUGCUCUCGUUGAUACCACACAAAGGGAACCAACUGGUUUUUUUGAUGAUGCAGUCAAUGCAUAUGAUGGUUCUGAUAUCAUAAUAGAUCCUCCACAGGAGCUUACCAAUAAUCCUGCUUUGUUUUGGGAGGACAUUAUCAAAGGUGUUGGUCAAGAAUUUGAUAAUGUGAAGGAUUUCCGAGCUCAGUUGUGCAAGUACUCCAUCGGCAAAGGAUUUGUGUACCGAUUUAUUAAGAAUGAAACCACCCGUGUCACUGUAAAGUGUGUUGCGGAUGGCUGCACCUGGCGAUUGCAUGCAUCUGAGUCAUCUCGUAACAAGAAAUUUGUUAUCAAGAAAAUGACUGAUGAGCAUACAUGUGGAGGAGAAGGCGGUGAGGGUCAGCGGCGAGCAACAAGACAGUGGCUGACUACCAUCAUUAAGCAGAAACUGCGUGAGAACUCAUUGCUCAAACCAAAGGAUCUUGUCAAGGAAAUACAUGAAGAGUAUGGAGUUAUGCUGACCUAUUCACAGGUUUGGCGAGGUAGAGAAGUGGCUCAGAAGGAGAUGUUUCAUGUUCAGAGGGAGGCAUCAGGCCAUUUGCCCUGGUAUGGGGAGAGGCUUAUGCAGACUAACCCAGGGAGUAUACUUGACUUGUCUGAGUUCUCUGAAAACCGACGUUUUAUUUUUGCAUUCCAUGCUUCUUUGGAAGGCUUUGCAAGUGGGUGCAGGCCCCUCCUUUUUCUUGACAAGGUUCCGCUCAAAGCGACAAAUGAGUAUAAGUUGCUGGUUGCCGCUGCAGUUGAUGCAGAUGAUGGUGUCUUUCCAGUUGCAUUUAAUGUGGUUGAAGAUGAUAAUUACGAGAACUGGGUUUGGUUCUUGAUGAAGCUGAGGAUUGCUCUCCAGUAUCAUAACUACCCAUUGAAUGCUAUGACAUUCUUGUCCAAUGGACAAAAGGGUCUGGAUGCUGCUGUCGCACAUGCGUUUGAAGGUAGCCACCAUGCCUUCUGUUUGCAUCAUAUCAUGGAGGAAUUCAAAGGAGAACUGAAGAAGGGACCAUGGUCGCAACAGAUAAGAGAUGCGAUGGUCGAGGAUUUUACUCGUGCAGCCCAAGCAUGCAGCAUUGAUGAUUUUAAUGCAUCAAUUGAGAGCAUAAGGAAUAUAUCCACUGAAGCUGCCGACUGGAUCAUUGCGAGUAAGCCAGAGCAUUGGUCAGAUGCCAUCUUCAGAGGCUGUCGGUAUGACCAUUUCUCAUCGAACAUUGUUGAUGCGUUUAAUAACUGGAUACCUACAAAGAAGGAGGGGUCCAUGGUGCUGAUGGUGGACUCUCUGAGGACAAAAAUAAUGGAGACAAUAGAAGCGAGGCGUGAAGCCUGCAAGUCAUGGGAAGGGCCUCUAACACCUUCCAUUGAUUACAAAGCAAAGGAUGAGAUAACCAAGGCUGGCAAGCUGACCGUGCUAUGCUCUUCUGAGACCGUGUUUGAAGUGCGGGGCAGCGGUAUUUUUGUUGUUAAUCUUGCAAACUGGGAAUGCACGUGCCGGAGGUGGCAACUUUCUGGCCUCCCCUGCAUGCAUGUUAUCGCUGUGUGUAACAGGAUUGGGCGGUCUUUCUACGACUACUGCUCAAAGUUUUUCACAACAGAUAGCUACCGUCAGACAUACUCAGGAACAAUCUACCCAAUUCCCGACAUGGACACCCUUGAUUUUAGCGCUGCGGCAAUGGUCCCGCCUCCCAGGCCACGGACAUCAGAUAAACCUAGAAGGAAGCGGCUUAACCCCAACAAGCCAACCACUCUUAUACGGCUCUGUAGCAGGUGCAAGCAAGUAGGCCACAACAAGGCCACCUGUGAAGCUGCUUUCCUGUAG